UCCUUGUUAGCUCAGUCGGUAGAGCGUUCGACUUUUACACAGAGGAUUUUCCAAAUUAAUCUUCAAAAGUUUCAAAAGAGGAAUCGAAAUGUCAGGGGUUCGAGCCCCCUAUGAGGAG
rnacentral:tRNA from 1 species